GUUUUAAUAGUUUAAAUAAAAACAAUGAUUUUGUAAAUCAUAAAUAGAAUUUCUUUAAAACU
rnacentral:tRNA from 1 species